AGAGCUUGCUCUUCUGAUCAGUGGCGAACGGGUGAGUAACACGUGAGCAACCUACCCUUGACACUGGGAUAACAGUUGGAAACAGCUGCUAAUACCGGAUAUGAACUCAGCAGGCAUCUGCCGAGUUGGAAAGCUCCGACGGUCAAGGAUGGGCUCGCGGCCUAUCAGCUCGUUGGUGAGGUAACGGCUCACCAAGGCGACGACGGGUAGCCGGCCUGAGAGGGCGACCGGCCACACUGGGACUGAGAUACGGCCCAGACUCCUACGGGAGGCAGCAGUGGGGAAUAUUGCGCAAUGGGCGAAAGCCUGACGCAGCAACGCCGCGUGCGGGAUGACGGCCUUCGGGUUGUAAACCGCUUUCAGCAGGGACGAAACUGACGGUACCUGCAGAAGAAGCACCGGCUAACUACGUGCCAGCAGCCGCGGUGAUACGUAGGGUGCGAGCGUUGUCCGGAAUUAUUGGGCGUAAAGAGCUCGUAGGCGGUCUGUCGCGUCGGAAGUGAAAACUCGGGGCUCAACCCCGAGCCUGCUUUCGAUACGGGCAGACUUGAGGAAUGUAGGGGAGAACGGAAUUCCUGGUGGAGCGGUGGAAUGCGCAGAUAUCAGGAGGAACACCAGUGGCGAAGGCAGUUCUCUGGACAUUAACUGACGCUGAGGAGCGAAAGCGUGGGGAGCAAACAGGCUUAGAUACCCUGGUAGUCCACGCCGUAAACGGUGGGCACUAGGUGUGGGGGACAUUCCACGUUCUCCGUGCCGUAGCUAACGCAUUAAGUGACCCGCCUGGGGAGUACGGCCGCAAGGCUAAAACUCAAAGGAAUUGACGGGGGCCCGCACAAGCGGCGGAGCAUGUUCAUUAAUUCGAUGCAACGCGAAGAACCUUACCUG
rnacentral:rRNA from 1 species